rnacentral:rRNA from 1 species
GACGAACGCGGGCGGCGUGCUUAACACAUGCAAGUCACGGGGGCCCGCAAGGGCAACCGGCGAACGGGUGCGUAACACGUGAACAACCUGCCCUCGUGUGGGGGAUAGCCGGGCUAACGCCCGGGUAAUACCGCAUACGUUCUGUUGGGGGAGUCCCUGACAGAGGAAAGCUCCGGCGCACGGGGAGGGGUUCGCGGCCUAUCAGCUAGUUGGCGGGGUAAUGGCCCACCAAGGCGACGACGGGUAGCUGGUCUGAGAGGAUGGCCAGCCACAUUGGGACUGAGAGACGGCCCAGACUCCUACGGGAGGCAGCAGUGGGGAAUCUUGCGCAAUGGCCGAAAGGCUGACGCAGCGACGCCGCGUGUGGGAGGACGCCUUUCGGGGUGUAAACCACUGUUGCCCGGGACGAACACGGCUAUUCGUAGCCGCUGACGGUACCGGGUGAGGAAGCACCGGCUAACUCCGUGCCAGCAGCCGCGGUAAUACGGAGGGUGCGAGCGUUGUCCGGAAUCAUUGGGCGUAAAGGGCGCGUAGGUGGCCCAGUCAGCGUGCGGUGAAAGCUCGGGGCUCAACCCCGAGUCGGCCGUGCGAACUGCUGGGCUCGAGCACUGUAGAGGCAGGCGGAAUUCCGGGUGUAGCGGUGGAAUGCGUAGAGAUCCGGAAGAACACCGGUGGCGAAGGCGGCCUGCUGGGCAGUAGCUGACACUGAGGCGCGACAGCGUGGGGAGCAAACAGGAUUAGAUACCCUGGUAGUCCACGCCGUAAACGAUGGGCACUAGGCGCUUGGGGGAGCGACCCCCCGAGGGCCGGCGCUAACGCAUUAAGUGCCCCGCCUGGG